GACGAACGCUGGCGGCGUGCUUAACACAUGCAAGUCGAGCGGUAAGGCCCUUUCGGGGGUACGACGAGCGGCGAACGGGUGAGUAACACGUGGGUGACCUGCCCUUAGCUCUGGGAUAAGCCUGGGAAACUGGGUCUAAUACCGGAUAUGACUCCAUAACGCAUGUUGUGGGGUGGAAAGCCUUGUGCGGCUAGGGAUGGGCCCGCGGCCUAUCAGCUUGUUGGGUGGGGUGAUGGCCACCAAGGCGACGACGGGUAGCCGGCCUGAGAGGGCGAUCGGCCACACUGGGGACUGAGACACGGCCCAGACUCCUACGGGAGGCAGCAGUGGGGAAUCUUGCGCAAUGGGCGAAAGCCUGACGCAGCGACGCCGCGUGGGGAUGACGGCCU
rnacentral:rRNA from 1 species